UACGUAGGGUGCAAGCGUUGCCCGGAAUCAUUGGGCGUAAAGCGCUCGUAGGCGGCUUGUCAAGUCGGACGUGAAAUCCCUCAGCUCAACUGAGGACGUGCAUCCGAAACUGGCGAGCUUGAGUACUGAAGAGGAUCGCGGAAUUCCCGGUGUAGAGGUGAAAUUCGUAGAUAUCGGGAGGAACACCAGUGGCGAAGGCGGCGAUCUGGGCAGAUACUGACGCUGAGGUGCGAAAGCGUGGGGAGCAAACAGG
rnacentral:rRNA from 1 species